rnacentral:tRNA from 1 species
AGGGACUUAGGAUAGUAUUGAGACCAAAGGCCUUCAAAGCCCUAAGCGAGAGUGAAAGUCUCUCAGCCCCUA